AGUGAACGCUGGCGGCAGGCCUAACACAUGCAAGUCGAGCGGCAGCGCGGGGGCAACCCUGGCGGCGAGCGGCGGACGGGUGAGGAAUUCGUCGGAAUCUGCCCUUUUGUGGGGGAUAACGUAGGGAAACUUACGCUAAUACCGCAUACGUCCUACGGGAGAAAGUGGGGGAUCGCAAGGCCUCACGCAGAAAGAUGAGCCGACGACCUAUUAGCUAGUUGGUUGGGUAAAGGCCCACCAAGGCGACGAUCGGUAGCUGGUCUGAGAGGAUGAUCAGCCACACUGGAACUGAGACACGGCCCAGACUCCUACGGGAGGCAGCAGUAGGGAAUAUUGGGCAAUGGGCGCAAGCCUGAUCCAGCCAUGCCGCGUGUGUGAAGAAGGCCUUCGGGUUGUAAAGCACUUUUGUCCGGAAAGAAAACCUUGGAGCUAAUACCUUCGGGGGAUGACGGUACCGGAAGAAUAAGCACCGGCUAACUUCGUG
rnacentral:rRNA from 1 species